rnacentral:rRNA from 1 species
GAUGAACGCUGGCGGCGUGCCUAAUACAUGCAGGUCGAGCGAACGGACGAGAAGCUUGCUUUUCUGAUGUUAGCGGCGGACGGGUGAGUAACACGUGGAUAACCUACCUAUAAGACUGGGAUAACUUCGGGAAACCGGAGCUAAUACCGGAUAAUAUUUUGAACCGCAUGGUUCAAAAGUGAAAGACGGUCUUGCUGUCACUUAUAGAUGGAUCCGCGCUGCAUUAGCUAGUUGGUAAGGUAACGGCUUACCAAGGCAACGAUGCAUAGCCGACCUGAGAGGGUGAUCGGCCACACUGGAACUGAGGCACGGUCCAGACUCCUACGGGAGGCAGCAGUAGGGAAUCUUCCGCAAUGGGCGAAAGCCUGACGGAGCAACGCCGCGUGAGUGAUGAAGGUCUUCGGAUCGUAAAACUCUGUUAUUAGGGAAGAACAUAUGUGUAAGUAACUGUGCACAUCUUGACGGUACCUAAUCAGAAAGCCACGGCUAACUACGUG